rnacentral:tRNA from 1 species
GAGAGGUGGCCGAGCGGUUUAAGGCGCCAGUCUUGAAAACUGGUGUAGGGGAAACUCUACCGAGGGUUCGAAUCCCUCCCUCUCC